UACGUAGGGGGCGAGCGUUGUCCGGAUUUAUUGGGCGUAAAGAGCUCGUAGGCGGUUUGGUAAGUCGGGUGUGAAAUCUCCACGCUCAACGUGGAGGGGCCACUCGAUACUGCCCUGACUUAGAGUCCGGUAGAGGAGUAUGGAAUUCCCGGUGUAGCGGUGAAAUGCGCAGAUAUCGGGAGGAACACCAGUAGCGAAGGCGGAUACUCUGGGCCGGAACUGACGCUGAGGAGCGAAAGCGUGGGGAGCAAACAGG
rnacentral:rRNA from 1 species